AGUCAAGAUAAGCAUUUCAAUACUAUACAUGAAAAUAUAUAUGUGCAUAUGUAUGUAUAUAUAAUUUAUUUUUGAAUUACUUGACAUUGUUCACUUCCUUUUUUCCUCUUGGGGAUCAGAGAAUUAAAAGGCUGUUAUUGGAAUUGAUUUAUUUUGCCACUUUUAUGUAAAAAAAGAAUAUCCACUGAUAGAGUAUAGGCUUUAGGAGAGAGA
rnacentral:lncRNA from 1 species